rnacentral:rRNA from 1 species
GACGAACGCUGGCGGCGUGCCUAAUACAUGCAAGUCGAACGCAGUGGGGACGGGUGAGUAACACGUGGGUAACCUCCCAUCAGAGGGGAUAAAACGUGGAAACAGGUGCUAAACCGAUACUGAUGGAUGAACCAGCGGUGCAUUAGCUAGUUGGUGGGGUAACGGCUAACCAAGGCCACGAUGCAUAGCCGGUCUGAGAGGGUGACCGGCCACCCUGGGACUGAGACACGGCCCAGACUCCUACGGGAGGCAGCAGUAGGGAAUCUUCGGCAAUGGACGAAAGUCUGACCGAGCAACGCCGCGUGAGUGAAGAAGGUUUUCGGAUCGUAAAACUCUGUUGUUAGAGAGGCGGUAUCUAACGAGAAAGCCACGGCUAACUACGUGCCAGCAGCCGCGGUAAUAC